rnacentral:rRNA from 1 species
GACGAAGGAUGCAAGCGUUAUCCGGAUUCAUUGGGUUUAAAGGGUGCGUAGGCGGACCUGUAAGUCAGUGGUGAAAUCUCUUUGCUUAACAAAGAAACUGCCAUUGAUACUGCAAGUCUAGAGUAUAGAUGACGUUUGGCGGAAUAUGACAUGUAGUGGUGAAAUACUUAGAUAUGUCAUAGAACACCGAUUGCGAAAGGCAGCUAACGAAAACUAUAACUGACGCUGAGGCACGAAAGUGCGGGGAUCAAACAGG